rnacentral:rRNA from 1 species
UUGCACGCUGGCGGCAGGCCUAACACAUGCAAGUCGCGCGGAUGAAGGGAGCUUGCUCCUGGAUUCAGCGGCGGACGGGUGAGUAAUGCCUAGGAAUCUGCCUGGUAGUGGGGGAUAACGUCCGGAAACGGGCGCUAAUACCGCAUACGUCCUGAGGGAGAAAGUGGGGGAUCUUCGGACCUCACGCUAUCAGAUGAGCCUAGGUCGGAUUAGCUAGUUGGUGGGGUAAAGGCCUACCAAGGCGACGAUCCGUAACUGGUCUGAGAGGAUGAUCAGUCACACUGGAACUGAGACACGGUCCAGACUCCUACGGGAGGCAGCAGUGGGGAAUAUUGGACAAUGGGCGAAAGCCUGAUCCAGCCAUGCCGCGUGUGUGGAGAAGGUCUUCGGAUUGUAAAGCACUUUAAGUUGGGAGGAAGGGCAGUAAGUUAAUACCUUGCUGUUUUGACGUUACCAACAGAAUAAGCACCGGCUAACUUCGUG